ACUCGACUAAGGCAACCCUGGUAAAAGUCAAGGACGCAAUGCUAAAGGGACUAAUGUGCAAACUACGUCAGCCAGUUGCCGAA
rfam:Paenibacillus naphthalenovorans strain 32O-Y, complete genome.